UCUACAUUAAAUUCAAGUGCUGGUCUGGUUAACAUAUAAUUCUGAUUCCGGCUCCUUUAAGUUUUUUGCAUAUCGAUCAUUGAACACUUUUAAAGUACAUCAAACAGGCUUCUAUAUACAUUAUGUGGUCUAUGUUCAGGUGUUACAAAUCCAUGCGACAAAACCUCAAAAAAAAAAAACCAAAAAAAAAGAAAAAAGAAAAUCGAGAAAAUAAGGGCGCGCGUGGUCUAAUAGACCAGUCAGCCACUGUAAUCUCUCCGACUUUUUUUUCAUAUAAUGACAAUUGGAGAUGGGGGAAACACCGCCGUUGAUCUCGAGCGCACGCGUGCAUCCGUGGGGAGAGAGGCA
rnacentral:lncRNA from 1 species